GGAUAGGGGUGAAAGGCUAAACAAACUUGGAAAUAGCUGGUUCUCUCCGAAAACUAUUUAGGUAGUGCCUCAAGUAUCACCGACGGGGGUAAAGCACUGUUAUGGCUAGGGGGUCAUCGCGACUUACCAAACCAUUGCAAACUCAGAAUACCGUUGAGUGCGAGCUUGGGAGACAGACAUCGGGUGCUAACGUCCGGUGUCAAGAGGGAAACAACCCAGACCGCCGAUUAAGGUCCCAAAGACAUAGUUAAGUGGGAAACGAGGUGGGAAGGCUUAGACAGCCAGGAGGUUGGCUUAGAAGCAGCCAUCCUUUAAAGAAAGCGUAAUAGCUCACUGGUCGAGUCGUCCUGCGCGGAAGAUGUAACGGGGCUCAAACUAUGCACCGAAAUCGCGGAUAUCCGUAAGGAUAUGGUAGGAGAGCGUUCUGUAAGCCGGUGAAGGCGUCUUGAGAAGGGCGCUGGAGGUAUCAGAAGUGCGAAUGCUGACAUGAGUAGCGAUAAAGGGCGUGAAAAGCGCCCUCGCCGAAAGCCCAAGGUUUCCUGCGCAACGUUCAUCGGCGCAGGGUGAGUCGGCCCCUAAGGCGAGGCUGAAAAGCGUAGUCGAUGGGAAACAGGUCAAUAUUCCUGUACCUCUUUGUAAUGCGAUGGGGGGACGGAGAAGGUUAGGUCAGCCGGGUGUUGGACGUCCCGGUUCAAGCGUGUAGGGAGAUCUUCUAGGCAAAUCCGGAGGGUCAAUCCUGAGGCGUGAUAACGAGCGGUCAUUGACGGCGAAGUGAUUGAUACCAUGCUUCCAAGAAAAGCCUCUAAGCUUCAGUUGCAAAGAGACCGUACCGCAAACCGACACAGGUGGGCAGGAUGAGAAUUCUAAGGCGCUUGAGAGAACUCAGGAGAAGGAACUCGGCAAAUUAGCACCGUAACUUCGGGAAAAGGUGCGCCCUGACAGGUUGUAGCCCCUCGCGGGUGAAGGCCGAAAGGGUUGCAGUGAAAUGGUGGCUGCGACUGUUUAAUAAAAACACAGCACUCUGCAAACACGAAAGUGGACGUAUAGGGUGUGACGCCUGCCCGGUGCCGGAAGGUUAAGUGAUGGGGUGCAAGCUCUUGAUCGAAGCCCCGGUAAACGGCGGCCGUAACUAUAACGGUCCUAAGGUAGCGAAAUUCCUUGUCGGGUAAGUUCCGACCU
rnacentral:rRNA from 1 species